rnacentral:rRNA from 1 species
GCGGCGUGCCUAAUACAUGCAAGUCGAGCGAUGAUUGAAGAUAGCUUGCUAUUUUCAUGAAGAGCGGCGAACGGGUGAGUAACGCGUGGGAAAUCUGCCGAGUAGCGGGGGACAACGUUUGGAAACGAACGCUAAUACCGCAUAACAAUGAGAAUCGCAUGAUUCUUAUUUGAAAGAAGCAAUUGCUUCACUACUUGAUGAUCCCGCGUUGUAUUAGCUAGUUGGUAGUGUAAAGGACUACCAAGGCGAUGAUACAUAGCCGACCUGAGAGGGUGAUCGGCCACACUGGGACUGAGACACGGCCCAGACUCCUACGGGAGGCAGCAGUAGGGAAUCUUCGGCAAUGGGGGCAACCCUGACCGAGCAACGCCGCGUGAGUGAAGAAGGUUUUCGGAUCGUAAAACUCUGUUGUUAGAGAAGAACGUUAAGUAGAGUGGAAAAUUACUUAAGUGACGGUAUCUAACCAGAAAGGGACGGCUAACUACGUGCCAGCAGCCGCGGUAAUACGUAGGUCCCAAGCGUUGUCCGGAUUUAUUGGGCGUAAAGCGAGCGCAGGUGGUUUCUUAAGUCUGAUGUAAAAGGCAGUGGCUCAACCAUUGUGUGCAUUGGAAACUGGGAGACUUGAGUGCAGGAGAGGAGAGUGGAAUUCCAUGUGUAGCGGUGAAAUGCGUAGAUAUAUGGAGGAACACCGGAGGCGAAAGCGGCUCUCUGGCCUGUAACUGACACUGAGGCUCGAAAGCGUGGGGAGCAAACAGGGUUAGAUACCCUGGUAGUCCACGCCGUAAACGAUGAGUGCUAGCUGUAGGGAGCUAUAAGUUCUCUGUAGCGCAGCUAACGCAUUAAGCACUCCGCCUGGGGAGUACGACCGCAAGGUUGAAACUCAAAGGAAUUGACGGGGGCCCGCACAAGCGGUGGAGCAUGUGGUUUAAUUCGAAGCAACGCGAAGAACCUUACCAGGUCUUGACAUACUCGUGCUAUCCUUAGAGAUAAGGAGUUCCUUCGGGACACGGGAUACAGGUGGUGCAUGGUUGUCGUCAGCUCGUGUCGUGAGAUGUUGGGUUAAGUCCCGCAACGAGCGCAACCCUUAUUACUAGUUGCCAUCAUUAAGUUGGGCACUCUAGUGAGACUGCCGGUGAUAAACCGGAGGAAGGUGGGG